rnacentral:misc_RNA from 1 species
GAUGAAGAACGUAGCGAAAUGCGAUAAGUAGUGUGAAUUGCAGAAUUCAGUGAAUCAUCGAAUCUUUGAACGCACAUUGCGCCCUUUGGUAUUCCAAAGGGCAUGCCUGUUCGAGCGUCAUUUGUACCCUCAAGCUUUGCUUGGUGUUGGGCGUCUUGUCUCUAGCUUUGCUGGAGACUCGCCUUAAAGUAAUUGGCAGCCGGCCUACUGGUUUCGGAGCGCAGCACAAGUCGCACUCUCUAUCAGCAAAGGUCUAGCAUCCAUUAAGCCUUUUUUUCAACUUUUGACCUCGGAUCAAGUAGGGAUACCCGCUGAACUUAAGCAUAUCAAUAAGCGGAGGA